UUCUGGGAGGUGUUCACACAGG
rnacentral:piRNA from 1 species